UACGUAGGUGGCAAGCGUUGUCCGGAAUCAUUGGGCGUAAAGAGCGCGUAGGUGGCUUGUCAGGUCUGAUGUGAAAUUUCGGGGCUCAACUCCGAACCUGCAUCGGAAACCGGCUUGCUAGAGUCUGGGAGAGGAGAGUGGAAUUCCUGGUGUAGCGGUGAAAUGCGUAGAUAUCAGGAGGAACACCGGUAGCGAAGGCGGCUCUCUGGAACAGUACUGACGCUGAGGCGCGAAAGCUAGGGGAGCGAACAGG
rnacentral:rRNA from 2 species